GACGAACGCUGGCGGCGUGCUUAACACAUGCAAGUCGAACGGGUCUGCCCUGUUUUUUGCGGGGUGGGUCAGUGGCGAACGGGUGAGUAACACGUGAGUAACCUGCCCCUCACUUCUGGAUAACCGCUUGAAAGGGUGGCUAAUACGGGGUGUUCUGGCUGUGCCGCAUGGUGUGGCUGGGAAAGAUUCACUUUUGUGGUGUUUUGGUGGGGGAUGGGCUCGCGGCCUAUCAGCUUGUUGGUGGGGUGAUGGCCGGCCAAGGCUUUGACGGGUAGCCGGCCUGGGAGGGUGGGCGGUCACACGGGGACUGAGAUACGGCCCAGACUCCUGCGGGAGGCAGCAGUGGGGGGUAUUGCACAAUGGGCGGAAGCCUGAUGCAGCGACGCCGCGUGCGGGAUGGAGGCCUUCGGGUUGUGAACCUCUUUCGCCGGUGAAGAAGGUCCUGCUCUUUGUGGUGGGGUUGACGGUAGCCGGGUUAUGAAGCGCCGGCUAACUACGUG
rnacentral:rRNA from 1 species